AGUGAACGCUGGCGGUAGGCCUAACACAUGCAAGUCGAACGGCAGCACAGUAAGAGCUUGCUCUUACGGGUGGCGAGUGGCGGACGGGUGAGGAAUACAUCGGAAUCUACUUUUUCGUGGGGGAUAACGUAGGGAAACUUACGCUAAUACCGCAUACGACCUACGGGUGAAAGCAGGGGAUCUUCGGACCUUGCGCGAUUGAAUGAGCCGAUGUCGGAUUAGCUAGUUGGCGGGGUAAAGGCCCACCAAGGCGACGAUCCGUAGCUGGUCUGAGAGGAUGAUCAGCCACACUGGAACUGAGACACGGUCCAGACUCCUGCGGGAGGCAGCAGUGGGGAAUAUUGGACAAUGGGCGCAAGCCUGAUCCAGCCAUACCGCGUGAGUGAAGAAGGCCUUCGGGUUGUAAAGCCCUUUUGUUGGGAAAGAAAAGCAGCAGGUUAAUACCCCGCUGUUCUGACGGUACCCAAAGAAUAAGCACCGGCUAACUUCGUG
rnacentral:rRNA from 1 species